rnacentral:lncRNA from 1 species
GCGCAACUCAGACCACUGGAGCGGAGUAGUAUCUGGAGUUUCUGUAACAUCCUUUCCCUUUUUUUUUUUUUUUAAAGCCAGAGCCUCUGUCGCCCAGGCUGCAGUACAGUGGCGUAAUCUCAGCUCACUGCAACCUCUGCCUCCCGGGAUCAAGCGAUUCUCCUUCCUCAGCCUCCCGAGUAGCUGGGAUUACAGGUGCCCGUCGGCUAAUUUUUGGUUUUUUGUUUUGUUUUGUUUUGUUUUUUUUGUUUUUGUUUUUGUUUUGAAACGGAGUCUCUGUCGCCCAGGCUGGAGUGCAACGGCGUGAUCUCGGCUCACUGCAACCUCCGCCUCCCGGGUUCAAGCGAUUCUUCUGUCUCGGCCUCCCAAGUAGCUGGGAUUACAGGCGUCCACCACCAGGCGCAGCUAAUUUUUUGUAUUUUUAGUAGACACGAGGUUUUGCCAUGUUGGCCAGGCUGGUUUCGAACUCCUGGCCUCAAGUGAUCCGCCUGCCUCGGCCUCCCAAAGUGCUGGGAUUACAGGCGACACCCUUUGCUUUUUUUUUUUUUUUUUUUUUGAGGCGGAGUAUCACUCUGUUGCCCAGGCUGGAGUGCAAUGGCGUGAUCUCGGCUCACUGCAACCUCUGCCUCCCAGGUUCAAGAGAUUCUUCUGCCUCAGCCUCCCAAGUAGCUGGCACUGCAGACACGCACCACCACACCCAGGAUGGUGCUAGCAUAUAUAAGACUGAAACACCAAAGUCCUCCGUGGAAGUUAAUGAAUUUCUAAUAGUGAAAUAAGGUGGCCAAGGAGGCAGAGAUGGAGUCAGGGACUCUGUGAUCAACCCUGAGGAUUGGGAAGGAACUAUACAUACCAGGAGGCAAGGAGCACUGGGGGCCCUCCUGGAACUGCCUGUCACAGCGUCCUCAAAGGUUUUCACUCUCCUAGGAUGACCCAGGUAUAGAAUCUGCCCCUAUGGUUCGGCUCCACCCUCUCACCUGUCUCUUGAGAGCAUUGUGAAAUUCUGAGACACAGCAAGGACAGAAACAGAGGGCAUGGAAGAUGCUUUCAGCAGUAUGAUGGUACUUCCAGUACCCCAGUGACACCUAGCCUGAGAAAGAAGCAGAGAUAAAGUCUAUAGAGGAAGAGAGCAUCUGAAUGACGUUUGAGUCCCUGGAUCCACUGUGUGAAGCCAGAGCCACUCCUGCAAGUGUUUUGUUUAGGUUUAAAUUUGAUUGAGAUUUUUAUUACUUCAAAGUAAAAAAUUCUUACUAAUGCAAUGCCUUCAGCCUUCCACCUCAAAGUCACUGAAAGGAUCUUAAUAUUUU